CCUACGGGAGGCAGCAGUGAGGAAUAUUGGUCAAUGGGCGGGAGCCUGAACCAGCCAAGUCGCGUGAGGGAAGACGGUCCUAUGGAUUGUAAACCUCUUUAGGCGGGGAGCAAGGCCGGGCACGCGUGCCCGGAGGGAGAGUACCCGCAGAAGAAGCAUCGGCCAACCCCGUGCCAGCAGCCGCGGUAAUACGGAGGAUGCGAGCGUUAUCCGGAUGUAUUGGGUUUAAGGGGUGCGUAGGCGGAUUUUUAAGUCAGCGGUAAAAUGUCCGGGCUCAACCCGGGCCGGCCGUUGAAACUGGGGAUCUUGAGUGGGCGAGAAGUAUGCGGAAUGCGUGGUGUAGCGGUGAAAUGCAUAGAUAUCACGCAGAACUCCGAUUGCGAAGGCAGCAUACCGGCGCCCGACUGACGCUGAGGCACGAAAGCGUGGGGAUCGAACAGGAUUAGAUACCCUUGUAGUC
rnacentral:rRNA from 1 species